rnacentral:ncRNA from 1 species
GGCGUUGCGAUGAAGGAGAUCCAGUAAGUAAACAGGUAUUCCGUACAGAGAGCUGCCGGGCGGUGUGAGGCAGCCGGAGCUGUUGAACCGAAAUACUCUCCGGAGCUGUUAUCUGAAUCCCGACAGGGUAGUAGGAGAGCCGGGGGCGCCCGAUACAGCGCAAAGGAUAUGAAAGUAUCCGGAGGCCGUUUCCGACGGAACGGCAAAAUAAGAGGUGGUACCGCGAUGAUUAUUCGCCCUCUGU